rnacentral:rRNA from 1 species
GACAAUCCAUACCGGCUAUGAGAGUAGGAGCCGGGAGAUGGAUACUGAGACAAGGAUCCAGGCUCUACGGAGCGCAGCAGGCGCGAAAACUCCGCAAUGCGCGCAAGCGUGACGGGGGAACUCUAAGUGUCUCUCAAAAGAGAGACUUUUGUAGUAUGUAAAAAGUACUACGAAUAAGGACAGGUCAAGACUAGUGCCAGCCUCCGCGGUAAAACUAGCUGUUCAAGUGGUAGUCACGAUUAUUGGGCUUAAAGCGUCCGUAGCCGGUUUAGAAAGUUUUCUGUGAAAUCCUUAAGCUUAACUUAAAGGACUUGCAGGAAAUACUCCUAAACUUGGGGUUGGGUGGGGUUGAAAGAAUUCCUAGGGUAGCGGUGAAAUGCUAUAAUCCUAGGAAGACUACCGAUGGCGAAGGCAUUCAACUAGAACAAGCCCGACGGUGAGGGACGAGAGCUAGGGGAGCAAACCGGAUUAGAUACCCGGGUAGUCCUAGCUGUAAACGAUGCAGACUGAGUGUUUCUUGAACUUUGGGUUCGAGAAGUGCUGAAGGGAAACCGUUAAGUCUGCCGUCUGGGGAGUACGGUCGCAAGACUGAAACUUAAAGGAAUUGGCGGGGGAGCACCACAAGGGGUGGAGUCUGCGGUUCAAUUGGAUACAACGCCGGGAAACUUACCAGGGACGACGGCACAAUGAAGGUCAGUUUAAAGUGCUUACUGGAGGAGCCGAGAGGUAGUGCAUGGCCGUCGUCAGCUCGUACCGUGAGGCGUGCGGUUAAGUCCGUUAACGAGCGAGACCCGUACCUCUAUUUGCUACUUUUUUUAAAUAAAAAAGGCACUAUAGAGGGACCGCUGGCGAUAAGUCAGAGGAGGGCGCGGGCGACGAUAGGUCAGUAUGCUCCGAAUUUCCUGGGCUACACGUGGACUACAAUGGCAUGGACAAUGAGUUGCAACUCCGAGAGGAGAGAGCCAAUCCCCUAAACCAUGUCUCAGUUCAGAUCGUGCUUUGAAACUCAGGCACGUGAAGGUGAAAUCCCUAGUAAUCGCUGGUAACUAUCCAGCGGUGAAUAUGUCCCCGCUCCUUGCACACACCGCCCGUCAAACCAACUGAGUAAGCUUAGAAUGAGGCGUUCUCUUUAGGGGACGUCAAAUUCU